rnacentral:rRNA from 1 species
UACGGAGGGGGGCUAGCGUUGUUCGGAAUUACUGGGCGUAAAGCGCGCGUAGGCGGCUUUGUAAGUUAGAGGUGAAAGCCCGGAGCUCAACUCCGGAACUGCCUUUAAGACUGCAUCGCUAGAAUUGUGGAGAGGUAAGUGGAAUUCCGAGUGUAGAGGUGAAAUUCGUAGAUAUUCGGAAGAACACCAGUGGCGAAGGCGACUUACUGGACACAUAUUGACGCUGAGGUGCGAAAAGCGUGGGGAGCAAACAGG